rnacentral:lncRNA from 1 species
CACGGAGCUGCAUGAGACUUGUCCACCGGGUGGGGAAGACUUUGGGGCCAAGACGACAUCUUUGGUCUGGAGAGCUGAGAGAGCCCAGGCUACGGUGGCCCAGAAGAGACAUGUAGUCCUCAAUGCAGCUCCUGUGGAAGGAAGAGGAGCUGUUGGAGGAAACCACACUUGCAGCUACAGUGUGACUUUCCUGCAGUAUGGGGGAC